rnacentral:ncRNA from 1 species
CCUGCUGUUCCGUCAGCAGUUGCCUAUUGAUAUAUGCAUUGCGGGUAACUGCAUUGUAUAAAGCUAUCGAGACAAAGUAAUCCUUCCUUGAUGGAAUAAAGCCAAUCGUGAGAGAAGUUUGAUGGCUGUUAGUAUCAUACGGUCAGG